rnacentral:rRNA from 1 species
CCUACGGGCGGCAGCAGUAGGGAAUAUUGCUCAAUGGGGGAAACCCUGAAGCAGCGACGCCGCGUGAGUGAAGAAGUAUUUCGGUAUGUAAAGCUCUAUCAGCAGGGAAGAAAAUGACGGUACCUGACGAAGAAGCACCGGCGAACUACGAGCCAGCAGCCGCGGUAAUACGGAGGGGGCAAGCGUUAUCCGGAUUUACUGGGUGUAAAGGGCGCGGAGACGGCAGGGCAAGUCUGAAGUGAAAGCCCGCGGCCCAACUGCGGGACUGCUUUGGAAACUGCCCGGCUAGAGUGCUGGAGAGGUAAGCGGAAUUCCUAGUGUAGCGGUGAAAUGCGUAGAUAUUAGGCGGACCACCAGUGGCGCAGGCGGCUUACUGGACUGUAACUGCCGUUGAGGCUCGACAGCGUGGGGAGCAAACAGGAUUAGAUACCCGAGUAGUC